UGGCACCCAUAAUAGCAUAUAGCAUAAAUACCUGCAUCAUUCAAGCCAUUGCCACAGUUUGGAGAGUUACUACACAAUACAUCCGUUGAGUGAGUAACCUCACACUGGAGAUGAUCUACAAAAUUGAACAACGUAAAUCGCCCCCUACCUUUCAGCUCAAAUUUACGUAACUAUAAAUAUAGCUUUGGCACAGUUGAUAUCAAAAACACAGGCAAUAUGGCAUUAGGAUACACUUGCUACAGUACACACUAGUUUCUAUUCUUGUACACACAUAUUAAGCCCAUAAGAAAAAAGAAUGGACCAAGCUAUGUAUUUCAUUAGAUAUAUUUUCUCUAAUAUAUAGGUAUAUAAAUUUAAGCUAGAUGAUGAUUGAACCUUGAUUAAGAUUUGCUCUUGAACCUCCUUUGAGCUUUCAAGUCCACCACAAUCACUGAGAUAUUAUCCUUGCUUCCUUUUUGCAUGGCGAGCAUAGAAAGGUAAUCAGCUGCUGCUUGAGAUGCUGGAUCAAUUCCGUUGCCCCUUUCAGCAAGAGACGCAACUCCAUUCUUUUUGUGCCAGAGCAAAAUCCGUUUUCGAGCAACUUCACAGGCUUCAUUAUUUGUCAUUACAUCCCAUAACCCAUCACUGGCUAAAAUAAGGCAUUCAUCGUCUCUAGCACGAGGAAUAAACAUGACUUCCGGUUCUGGAAUAAUCCAUGGUUUCAAGUAUCUAUCACCAAUUGACCUAGACAUAGCAAGAACACCAAAAACACGAUGUCCAUUCCAUGGAAUCACCUUGCCCCCAGAAGCCUCAAUCCUUGCAUACUCAUCUUCUCUGUUUGGUUUAUGAUCAACUGACAAUGCCAUUGAUUCUUUUCCACGAUAAAGCACUGCUCUUGAAUCACCACAAUUUGCAACUAUGAUAUGGGAUGAACAGACCAAGGCAACCACAGCUGUAGAUCCAACUGUUUCUGGGGCCACGGGCUCAAAAUUGGCAUCAGAAGCAUCUCCAUGGCCUUCAAUGGUGCCUCUGGUACCUUUUCCUCCUAUCUCAUCAUCAACCUUAAGAAAGCAACUAGUGAAGGCUUUCUCCCACUGCACCUGCUGAUUUCCCUCCAUGCUUGCAUCACUUGAAACAUUUUUAACAUUUCCAAUCUCUUCAACCAAGGCCCAGUGGAUUCGGUCACGACAAUAGUUAGCAACCUGAGCGCCCCCAUGGCCAUCGUAAACACCAAAAAAAUGACUCAUUACAUGGGUCAAACUUUCACUUAAUCCAUCAACAACACGGUCACCAAUAAGCAUCUUGAUAGGAAUUUUUACAAACCGAGGGAUAGCUGUAACAGCGUCUUCCAUUUCUGGUCUUCUGCCACAAAUUGAUACAGAACCCCAAAGGGGUAUGCAAUCAAGUUCAAACACACUCCGUGUAGUUCCUUUGCUGAGAUUCUUCUCACUGGGCAACUUAAGAACCACUGCAGAUGCCCUUAAAUCAGAGCCAUCAGAGAUAUCAGCAUUUGAGCUCACUGCUGCAAUAAGAAGUUUUGCCGUAGGCACCUGCACCUCAUUUGAUGACUCCACAAUUAUAGCCUUAGCAAUAAUUUGGCUAUCUUCAAUCCCAACAGAUUUUGGCAAGCUUAUUUCAGAUCCUGCUUCCAAUGCCAACAAUUCCUCAGUCAUUAUUCCAUUAUUGUCUUCCGCAACUGACAAUACUUCAUCUUCAUCGAUUUCCUGUAUGAGAGGAUCAGCUGGAACUGAUAUGUUUCCAUUAUCUGGCAAUACCUUCAAUGAAUCAGUUACUUGAACACCACCAUCUUCUGGUGCAGACAAGGUGGCAAAGUCCUCCUCAUUCUUAGUGUCGCUAGAACUUCCACAGCAUGCAGUAACAGCCUCAUCGGAUACCACCCUAGCAGGAUCAGACAACAAGCCUAAGUCCACUGCAUUAUUAGCAUCUCUAGAGCUUCCACUGCAUGCAAUAACAGCCUCAUCGGAUACCACCUUAACAGGAUCAGACAACAAGCUUACAGUGUCUGCUACUAGCUUUAACCGUUUAAUUUCCACAUGGGCUGUAAUACCCGAGUUAUCAUACAUAGAAUUACCUAAACUAAGCGUCAUUGCAACUGCUGGGGACAUCUCUUCCAUCAAUUCCACUGUGUGUCCAAUUAACAGUUCUAACUAUCUAUAUUUUUUUCACACGAUCCACCAAUUUUCAUCCUCAUCAUUUCCUUUCACAAUUAAACUUGCGGUAAAGCUUGCAGGUUCUAACAAUUCCCCUUCCAUCCUAUGACAUCUCAAUGACCCACCGAUAUUUUUUCAUCAAGGAGAAAUAAAGAGAACACAGUCUAUGUCUCAAGGUCAAAUCAAAGAUGGGCAAGCUGUUGAGCAGAAGCAGAAUUGAAAACAAGUUAUCAGAUCUGGUGAGGAAAAAUGGAUCUAAUCUUCUAAUUAUCAGAUAUUUUCAAGUCUCCGCAGGUAGUUUGAGUUAUCCUCAAAACUCCAGAACUUAUCAAAUUCUUGUCACCUUUUUCCAGAAAGUAACAACAACAACAGGAUACCCAAAUCCUAUCCCCACCACCUACCCUUAAAAACAUAGCCACAAAUGAAAAAAACUAAUAAAAUCAAGACUUCAUCUUUUAACCCAAGAAUAGAAAGCAGGAACAGUCAUGAGAAAC
rnacentral:misc_RNA from 1 species